UCGAACGCGAAAGUCUCUUCGGAGAUGAGUAGAGUGGCGCACGGGUGAGUAACGCGUGGAUUAUCUACCUAUUGGUACGGGACAACAGUUGGAAACGACUGCUAAUACCGUAUAAGCUGGUAACGGGAAAGGGGGCCUCUUCUUGAAAGCUCUCGCCAGUAGAUGAGUCCGCGUUUCAUUAGCUAGACGGUGGGGUAACGGCCUACCGUGGCAACGAUGAAUAGCAGGCCUGAGAGGGUGGCCUGCCACACUGGGACUGGAACACGGCCCAGACUCCUACGGGAGGCAGCAGUGGGGAAUAUUGCGCAAUGGACGAAAGUCUGACGCAGCGACGCCGCGUGGAGGAUGAAGGUUUUCGGAUCGUAAACUCCUGUCAAGAGGGAAGAAACCUAUUAAGAAUAAUACUCUUAGUAAUUGACGGUACCUCUAGAGGAAGCACCGGCUAAUUCAGUGCCAGCAGCCGCGGUAAUACUGAAGGUGCAAGCGUUAAUCGGAAUCACUGGGCGUAAAGCGCUCGUCAGUGGCUUUGUAAGUCAGGUGUGAAAGCCCAC
rnacentral:rRNA from 1 species